ensembl:lncRNA
AUCAAGUGGUGGACGUCCAGAGAGGAGAGGUGAGUUGCACAUUGUCACACAUUGCUGCUUUACUCUUGUGUUUGAUUGUUUCAGAUGCUGAGAGAUCAAGUGGUGGACGUCCAUAGAGGAGAGGUGAGUUAGAAACAUGCACAGUGUCACGUAGGUGAUGAGUGUUUUGUGUGUCUCUUUAUUGCGGUGACUUGUUUUGAUCACUUGUAUGUUUGAUUGAUUGCUUUGUGACACAUUGAAGACAUUGGACUUUGAUCAUUUACUCAUAUGUGUCUUUUAUUUGUUUCAGGAGGUUCACAGAGAUUAGUUGCAACAAGAAAACGCUAUGCAUGGUGUCAGAGAUUUGCCGUAGAAGCAGAGCUUCUUCUUCUUCUUCUUCUUCUUCUUCUUCUUCUUCUUCUUCUUCUUCUUCUUCUUCUUCUUCUUCUUCUUCUUCUUCUUCUUCUUCUUCUUCUUCUUCUUCUUCUUCUUCUUCUUCUUCUUCUUCUUCUUCUUCUUCUUCU